UUGGCGGAUUAAGUGCUAUCUCUUUCUUCAAGUUCUACAAGAUUUUCAGAUUAGUUUCUUUUUAAUAUCAUACAUUUCGAUGUUUUUGAAAAUUAUCUACAACGCAUAUAACAAUGUGCCUACAUAGAAAGUAAGUACGUUAACAAUGCGAUAUUUAAUUCGUUUUAUAGUUUUUUCUUUUUUCUAUUUUUUUGCCUUUUUUUCUUUUUUUGUUGUUGUAUAUAACCCCAUAAAUUCUUUGUGAUUUGACCGAACGAACAUUCGUCGUAUUAUUUUAUAUUUUGAUUUAAGUUAGUAUGUGGUUGCUAUUAAUGAAAUAUUCGACAAUUAUUACGAAUAUAUAUCUAUAUCAUAAACAAUCGAACAAUAUAUAACAGUAUUAAAAAAUAACGUAUUAUCGAGAACAAAGAAUUUGUAAUAAUUCAUAGCUAUUAUGACAAACAAUGCAUACAUUAAAGUGCCUCCUACUGUCAUACGAAUAAUAUAAUUUAAUUUUGUAUAAUAUUACGAGGUUUGUUCAUUGUAGUGGAACUAUAGAAUAUUACAACGAAUGGUAGAAGGAAAUUUGGUUGGUAAUAAUUUCUAUUUAUUGAUCGUUCAAGUUAUAGAUACAAAAGGGUAUCGGGAGAUAGGUUUUACAGUACUUUCACCAUUUUUUUCAUCGUUAUUUUCUAUCGCUCUCAAGGUUGUUACGAGCAAAUUCGAAAUCGAGUAUUCCGCUUCGCGAAGCGUGCAAAUUAUCCGAUGCAGAAUGUAUACCACGCCUGCGUAUAGAAUCUACCGCAUUUCGUGCUUUACCUUCGGUUACGAUCCUUUCCGUUUCGUAAAUGGUCACGAUGGAAAAGAUCGUUCUUUCAUUAUCUCUUUUGCUUAUCGAUAAAUUUAUCGUCGAUAAAUGUAUUUACUCGUUUCCUUUGAAGAUUUAUUGAUAUACGAUAUUAUUUAACGAUGUCAAAAAAUAAUUCCUUUAACCUUUUGAUCAGCCGAUAAGUAGAUUACAAUUAAUAAUAGUUUUAGUAGUAUCUACUACGUUAAUCAUCGAUUAUACAAUUUCCAAAAUAAUGACUCUCAUUUAAGUUAAACGUUCAUUCAUAUGUAAUGUAAUAUUUAAAGAAGAAAAGAUCAUUAAUCUCUCUUUCUUUCUCUUUUGUCGAAAAUUGAUUAAAUUUAUUAAUUUUCAUGGAAAAUUUAUUAGUAUAAAAUUAUAUUUAACAAUUUGAAGAAAUAAUUUUUAUAACUUUUCGAUCAGUCAAUAAAUAGAUACCAUUAAAAAUAAUUUUAGUAUUUACUACGUAAGUCAUCAAUUUCGGUUAUAUCGAAGUAAUAUAUAUAUAUAUAUAAAAAAAAAAAAAAAAAAAAAAAAAAAGGAAAAAUGGCCGCGAUUUUAGCCCACAUUAAACGUCCGUCCGGUGCAAUAUAAUAUUUCAAGAAGAAAAGCUCACGAAGGAGAAAAUAAAAUCGCGGUAUGCUGCCACCAAAACGUUUGGAUUUAUUUCACGCGACCUCGAAGCAGGAUUGUGUCAGGAGAUGAACCAGAGCGAUGGAUUAUUUAUCGGGACAUCUCUCGUUCCGUUCUUCUCAUUCCAUUCUUCUUCUCCUCAUCCCUUAUUUCUCAAAGCUCCGUGCGUCAUCCGGCGUCUCCCCGGGGAUGCAGGAAACAAUGUCAUCUAUCUUCCAGCGUGAUCCACGUCCGGUGCAUCAUGCUGGAAUUACCGGUACUAAUACACACUAUGCUAUCGUAUAGCCAAGACCAUACAAGGUAUUCACGUAUGUGAUCUGCCAGCCAACCUAGAUCCAUGAUCUAUCUACUUAUCUAUCGUACGCUUAUCCGCAUUCCUUGUUUCAGGAUCUAAGGUUAACAUUUACAUCCCCGAUAGGAGAUCCUUACCUAACUAAAAUUAUAACACGAAAUCGAUCAGUUUUCGUUUUCUUUCAUCUUUUAUAACUUUUUAUUGUUACUCUAAUGUCAUUUCGACAUUUGUAUAGAACAUCGAUUGAUAAAUGAUAAAAAUGCAUAACAAGAUGAAUGAUCUGAAAAAAAAUACAUACAUAUAUAUAUAUAUAUCCAUGCAUAUAUAUAUAUAUAUAUAUAUAUAUAUAUAUAUAUACACCUAUAUGCAUGCAAGUAUAAAUAUAUAGAUUCGUAAAGUAGAUCAGUUGCUUCUUGCGAAAAAGGAAUGAACAUAAUGGUGAAAAGCGACGAUUUCCCUGAGAAAAUUUUCAACGCACGGAUCUCACUUGAUAGCAGUGCAAGGUGAAAUAUUGAAUUUCUCAAAGCGUUGAUACGUGCGUAGAUAUGUGUAUAUGUGUCUAUGAUACCAGGUAUCUAUAUAACAUACAUAUAUAUAUAUAUAUAUAUAUAUAGACACAGACAGAUACAUACAUAUACAUACACAUGCACGCUAUAUAAAGUAUAUAUAUUUUUUUACAUCAUAUAGUCGCACGAUUUCCAGGCCCUUUUUUCUUUAACGUGUCUCUCAUAUCUCGCUUCUUCCGCUGUGCUCAUCGCACGUAUGCCAUACAAUAGGCACAUAUGGAUUACAAUGGCUCUUGUCAUACGCGCCAUACAUACUCACGAUGCUAGGAUUUUAUGAAACAGUCGUCGUCAUCAUCGUCGUCGUCGUCGUCGUCGUCGUCGUCGUCGUCGUCGUCGUCGUCAUCGUUGCAAUCUGGUUUCAUAGUAACGAUCGAUACAUCGAUCGUAACAUCCCGAUCGUCGUCAUUGUGUUGGAUCGAUACUCAGGAAGUCUAUAAAACAAGCUAUAAACUGGCGAAGAUUUUCCUUCGAACGAUACGUCUCCUUUCGUUUUCUUCCUCUUCUUAUAUUCAGAUUUCUUUUAACGGAUGUUCGAUUAUAUUCAAAACUUUAUCAUCUAUGUAUUGAAGCCUUUACGGAUUCUCCAGAAAUUUUCAACAGCAAUGGUGAUUUAUUCAUCGUUGAAAUAAAUUAUGAGAAUUAUAAACUUUAAGCAAACUCUUUCAAACUCAUGGAGCUUGAUUUAUUUGCUCUUAAAUUAAUCCAUUAUAAAGUGAGUACACAAGACGUUCUCAUAUUUCUCUUAAUAAGAUACAUCCAAUUACAUAUGAGAGCUAUUGAUCGUGAUAGUGAUCUAAAGUCAUUUGAAAUAUUAAAAAGACAUAUAUCUUGUCUCACACGUUAUUUAAAAAAAAAAUUUUUAAAUAACAUAAAAGAAUUAUCUUUUAAGAUCAAUUACAUUUAAAAUAUUUCGAAACGAUUAAUAUGUGACUUAAACAAUUCGAUCACUUUCACGAUCACUCAAAUCAUAUACAGGGUGGAUCUUUUAAGUAAAUUAAAAAGUUCUACCUAAAUGAUCCAAUGAGAAUAGGAACAACGACAAUGAAAACGACAAAAUAGGACCGACGACGACGACGACGACGACGACGACGACGACGAUGACGACUGAUGGGUCACCUUUUUUUUAUUUUUUCGGCAAAAAGUCGAAGAUAUAAAAAAAAUUGUUUUUUGCAUCAGAAUAAGCCAAAGAGAUAUUUAGGUGGUCUUACUUAAAAGGAUCAUUCUUUAUAUAGAAAUGUUACGAUACGUUAUCAGUAAUCUUAUCAACGCGAUCCAUAUAUUCGGUGUCUAUUUUAAAGGUGAUACAAAUUUUGUAAAGUGAGAUAUAGGAAGUAACGAAACUGGCAGAUUGGUGUCGUACAUGGAACGAGGAAACUGGUAAGACGUUUCGUGUAUCUACAUACAAACAAGAUCUCUGAUGGUAAGACUGCCUAAGGUUGACAGCUGUCUGAGAGUUUUCACCGCGACGACGACGACAACGACGACGAAGACGACGACGUCGAAGACGAAAACGACGACAACGAAGACGACGACGAUGAAGACGACGACGACGGUGUUAUCUCCAUAGCUGGAUCAAUUUCCUGGAUCCUUUUCGUGCAAGAAGGACAAGAUCCUCUAGGUUCUACACCACGUUAUCGGAAAUUCUUCUCUUUCCUCUAUCGUCUCACCAACCUAUAUAGAUUCGAGAGUACACACGUACACACAUUUUGAUUUGCUCAGGAGAUGAAAGGGAGCGAGAUAGAUCGAAGACACAAAGACGUUUUCCAAGAACUAGAAAGAAUUUAGAAAGAGAAAAAAAGAUGAGUAUAAAAAGGGAAGAUAGAAAUAAAAUUAAUUACACAAUUAUUACAAACGAAUCCAAUUCCAGAUAUGGGAUCAUAGACAAAAAGGAAAAGGAUCUUAAUUGAAUGUUGAUCAAUUUUACUCGCGCUCUAUAGAAAUAUUCAAUAAUUUCACGUUGACGUGUCCCAGGAAAGCAUAUUAACACGUCGACUACGUUUGGAACGUAAUCUACAAGUUAUGCAUCUCGCAUCUAAUUUAUUUUCCAUUCCGCUCUAGUUCCUCUUAGUAGAACAUGUCAUCAUCAGUGCUAGAUCUUAUCUUAAGAAUCGUAUUCCGGUUUUAGGUGAAACAUAUGCUGAGGAAUAGCUGGUUGCCUUGGAUGCCUAAUUCAAGAACGAACGUUGCCAUUAGUGGUCGAGCGCAUUCGUGUUUGUGAAAAUUUAAGCCAAACAGAGAAACUAAGAAACUAAGAAAAAUAGAGAGCGAAAGAGGAUCAUCGAAGAUGAUUAAGAGUAUUCGAGUGGACUGCGAUUCGAUUCCUAAUUCGCUCAAUUUCGGAUGCAAUUACCAUGUCAACGCGGUUGGCUUAUCGAUCACUUCGAUUCGAUCACAUCUGAGGAAUGGUGUUUAUACGGUGAUUCAUGAUUUAUCGAUCAAGAGUAUUAUAGCUUUGUAUUGAUCAAUGAAAAAUUCUCAAUAUCGAGCAACCUAUCAAAGGAAAUCGUGUGUUACUGGUUGGUUACAUGGAACAUAUUUGCUGAAAUUUGUCCUGGUUACUGGCAAAUGCAUCGCUUGUUAUCCUAUUAUCUGGAUUAUGGUGCGUUAUGUGGAGAUCUGACGAGGAAAUCGAGAACGAGAACGAGAACGAGAAUGAGAACGAGCUGAAGCUAGCAAGAGCUUUUCCUCUCAUUUUCACCAAGGAUGCGGCUAUAAUUCAUGAAGUGGUGCUAAUUCCUUGGCAACCACCGUCGCACCGUCUCGUCAAGAGGCUUUGCGCGUCGAAACAGCUUCCCAUUUCACAGCGGAGUUAGGAAAUGUAUUGUUUUCUCGAAAGAGUAUCCCACCGAGACCAAAAUGGUGUAGACUGUACCAACCAUCCAGGAUCUACGAACGUCGGAAUAGUGGCAAGCAACCUAACGUCCCUCGUGUCUUUGUUUGAGUGCUUAAGAGAGAAGAAAAUCCCCGGUUGGUAUUUCAAGAGGAGUGACGUUUGGACGCGGAUUAGACCGCGAACAUGUUAAUGAUAAAAAUAGAAUAUAUAUAAUUCGUUGGUAAUUUAUCGUGAAAAAAAAUAUUUCUAGCGUUACAAAUAUUUCAUAAAUAAUUCAUUGAUAUCAAAUUGUUUCACGUCGAGUGAUCAUUUUAUAUUUAUUUUAAUGAAAUAUCAUAAAAUUUUAUAAUUAUAUCUGUAUAACGUAUGUAUAACAUACUUGUAUAUUUAUAAUUGUGUAUUAAAAAAAAAAAAAAAAAGAAAAAAAUGGAGGGGCGGAGGGAGGAAAAGAAA